rnacentral:rRNA from 1 species
GAACGGGUGAGUAACGCGUGGGUAACCUACCUUUCAGCGGGGGAUAACUAUUGGAAACGAUAGCUAAUACCGCAUAACAAUGUUGGAUGCAUAUUCGACAUUUGAAAGUACCAACUAGUACACUGAGAGAUGGACCCGCGUUGUAUUAGCUAGUUGGUAGUGUAAUGGACUACCAAGGCGAUGAUACAUAGCCGACCUGAGAGGGUGAUCGGCCACAUUGGGACUGAGACACGGCCCAAACUCCUACGGGAGGCAGCAGUAGGGAAUCUUCGGCAAUGGACGAAAGUCUGACCGAGCAACGCCGCGUGAGUGAAGAAGGUUUUCGGAUCGUAAAACUCUGUUGUUAGAGAAGAACGUUGCAUAGAGUGGAAAAUUAUGCAAGUGACGGUAUCUAACCAGAAAGGGACGGCUAACUACGUGCCAGCAGCCGCGGUAAUACGUAGGUCCCGAGCGUUGUCCGGAUUUAUUGGGCGUAAAGCGAGCGCAGGUGGUUUAAUAAGUCUGAUGUAAAAGGCAGUGGCUCAACCAUUGUGUGCAUUGGAAACUGUUAGACUUGAGUGCAGUAGAGGAGAGUGGAAUUCCAUGUGUAGCGGUGAAAUGCGUAGAUAUAUGGAGGAACACCGGUGGCGAAAGCGGCUCUCUGGACUGUCACUGACACUGAGGCUCGAAAGCGUGGGUAGCAAACAGGAUUAGAUACCCUGGUAGUCCACGCCGUAAACGAUGAGUGCUAGUUGUUUGGGGCUAUCCAGCCCUAAGUGACGCAG